rnacentral:rRNA from 1 species
AACCUCCGCAAUGUGAGAAAUCGCGACGGGGGGAUCCCAAGUGCCAUUCUUAACGGGAUGGCUUUUCAUUAGUGUAAAGAGCUUUUGGAAUAAGAGCUGGGCAAGACCGGUGCCAGCCGCCGCGGUAACACCGGCAGCUCUAGUGGUAACAAUUUUUAUUGGGCCUAAAGCGUCCGUAGCCGGUUUAAUAAGUCUCUGGUGAAAUCCUGUAGCUUAACUGUGGGAAUUGCUGGAGAUACUAUUAGACUUGAGACCGGGAGAGGUUAGAGGUACUCCCAGGGUAGAGGUGAAAUUCUGUAAUCCUGGGAGGACCGCCUGUUGCGAAGGCGUCUAACUGGAACGGUCCUGACGGUGAGGGACGAAAGUUAGGGGCGCGAACCGGAUUAGAUACCCGGGUAGUCCUAACUGUAAACGAUGCGGACUUGGUGUUGGGGUGGCUUUGAGCUGCUCCAGUGCCGAAGGGAAGCUGUUAAGUCCGCCGCCUGGGAAGUACGGUCGCAAGACUGAAACUUAAAGGAAUU